UGACGAGUUAGUGGGUGCAGUGCACCAGCAUGGCACAUGUAUACAUAUGUAACUAACCUGCACAUUGUGCACAUGUACCCUAAAACUUAAAGUAUAAUAAAAAAAAAAAAAAGAAAAGAAAAACAUACCUAACAUCCCACAGACAGUUAAAAGAAUGGAUCAGUCAUUAGUGAGAAAACAUUUUGAAUUAGAAGAAAGCUCUGAGGAAAUAUGUCAGAAUUAAUAGAGAUUAAUAAGGAGAUGCAAUAUAUGAAGAAUUUAGAAACAUCAACAAUUAAUCAUAAAGUGCCAACCUACGUGGAAUAGCAAUGUGUGAAGGGAAAAAUGUUCCUGAGAAAAAAAUUGCAUUUAUUAUCCAAAACAGGAAAGAAAUGAGUCUAUAGAUUGAAAACGCCACUUAUGCAACACAUAGCAGGAGAAAAAAUAACACCUAAACAUAUAGCAUGACUGCAAAAUACCAUAGCUAAAGAAAAAUCUUCUAAAACUAACAGGGAACAGGCAAAUAACUUGUGAGGAGACAAUUAUAUCAACAACAUUGUCAAAAGAAGCAAAACACAACAGAAGAAAAUGGAAUAAAGCAGCUGAAAGAUUCAGGAGCUGGGCCUUGCUGGUGAGAACUACACAAAUUUGACACAGAAAAUAAGGAUAUAUGAACAACCAUUCACUGGUCCCAUCACCGACUGAAGCCACCUGUUUUUGUUUAUGGAUGAGCCCACACAGACUGUGUAAAUGUAGCUGGGGGGAAGACACCAUAAUCAGAUGCAGUAGGUAGAAACAAAUAGGCUUGAAAAGUGUGAAUUUAUUUAAAAUGACAGCUCAAGAAGUUAUACUUUUUAGAAAAGUGCAUAUUUUAAAAAAUAAUUCCAAGACAAGCCAAUUACCAUAUGUUGUGAGAUUUAUAAUUCAUCAUAAAAUGAAAUGUGUUAAAAACUUUCAAUUAUUUUCUUUUACUGGUAAUGCUUUUGAGUGUUUCCUUUUGGAUUCUAUCAAUUAAUUGUUGGCUUUUAAAAAAUUUUAUGAAGCAAGAUAACUUACAGUAUUCAAAAGACACAGACAACAUGAAAUGGAGAAAUUAAACAUCACAUAUACAAACAUUUCAGGUUCUUUUGCUGACAUUUAAUGCUUUUUAAGUAAAGAGGUUGUUUUAAAAACUCUGUAUCAUGGAAUAUUAUACAGCCCUAAAAAUGAAAUCAUUUCCUUUGUAGUAACAUGGAUGCAGCUGUAAGCCAUUAUCUUAAGGGAAUUAAUGCAGGAACAGAAAGCCAUAUACUACAGGUUCUUGCUUAUAAGUGAACAUAAGAAGCUAAACAAUGGGUUCUCACAGACAUAAAAGAUGGCAACAAUAGACACUGAGGACUAAUAGGGGGACAGGGGGAAGGAUUGAAAAUGUCCUGGGUACUAUGCUCACUACUUGGGUGACAGGAUCAAUUGUACACCAAACCUCAGCACUUUAAAAUAUAUCCACUUAACAAACCUGC
rnacentral:lncRNA from 1 species